GAUGAACGCUGGCGGCGUGCCUAAUACAUGCAAGUCGAGCGAACGGACGAGAAGCUUGCUUCUCUGAUGUUAGCGGCGGACGGGUGAGUAACACGUGGAUAACCUACCUAUAUUACUGGGAUAACUUCGGGAAACCGGAGCUAAUACCGGAUCAUAUUUUCAACCGCAUGGUUCAAAAGUGAAAGACAGUCUUCCUGUCACUUAUAGAUGGAUCCGCGCUGCAUUAGCUAGUUGGUAAGGUAACGGCUUACCAAGGCAACGAUGCAUAGCCGACCUGAGAGGGUGAUCGGCCACACUGGAACUGAGACACGGUCCAGACUCCUACGGGAGGCAGCAGUAGGGAAUCUUCCGCAAUGGGCGAAAGCCUGACGGAGCAACGCCGCGUGAGUGAUGAAGGUCUUCGGAUCGUAAAACUCUGUUAUUAGGGAAGAACAUAUGUGUAAGUAACUGUGCACAUCUUGACGGUACCUAAUCAGAAAGCCACGGCUAACUACGUG
rnacentral:rRNA from 1 species